UACGUAGGGCGCGAGCGUUGUCCGGAAUUAUUGGGCGUAAAGAGCUCGUAGGCGGUUUGUCGCGUCUGCUGUGAAAACUCGGGGCUUAACCCCGGGCCUGCAGUGGGUACGGGCAGACUAGAGUUCGGUAGGGGAGACUGGAAUUCCUGGUGUAGCGGUGAAAUGCGCAGAUAUCAGGAGGAACACCGGUGGCGAAGGCGGGUCUCUGGGCCGAUACUGACGCUGAGGAGCGAAAGCGUGGGGAGCGAACAGG
rnacentral:rRNA from 1 species